AAAUGCAAGUCGAGCGGNGGAGCAAUCCCCAGCGGCGAACGGUCGCGUAACACGUAGGCAACCUGCCCCACAGACCGGGACAACACUUCGAAAGAGGUGCUAAUACCGGAUGCGGCCACCGGGAGACAUCUCUUGGUGAUUAAACCCCGCAAGGGGCUGUGGGAGGGGCCUGCGGCCUAUCAGCUAGAUGGUGGGGUGAUAGCCUACCAUGGCGACGACGGGUAGCUGGUCUGAGAGGAUGGUCAGCCGGACUGGGACUGAGAUACGGCCCAGACUCCUACGGGGGGCAGCAAUUAGGAAUCUUGCGCAAUGGGGGCAACCCUGACGCAGCGACGCCGCGUGGAGGAGGAAGGCCUUCGGGUUGUAAACUCCUUUUUUGUGGGAAGAAACAAAUGACGGUACCACAGGAAUAAGCCCCGGCUAACUCCGUGCCAGCAGCCGCGGUAAUACGGAGGGGGCGA
rnacentral:rRNA from 1 species